CUCGGCGGGGCAGGGCUGGCAGAGCGAAUCGUCAUUCCAAAUGAAAAGAAAACACGAUUUCUAAGAAGUGUUUAGGAGGGUGCGCAGCGGGGCAUAUUUUCUUUCUUACUGGCAAGGGUUUGUAACUGGAUCCCUGAACAUUGCUGAGAACAUGAAAACAUGAAACAAAAGUAUUGAUCCAAGAAUUCGCAGAAGAAAAGGAUCCAAAUACACACGGGUUUGGUCGAUUCACAUAAUUCAACCCAACGCAUUUCCAAGACGAUUCCCAGCGUUACCAGACUCUGUGCUCGGGAAACCUGAGCAGCCCCGAGGUGAGCACUCCCCUCCCGCCCGCACAGCGCAGCACCACCAGCACUGUUGGCACAGGACGGUUGUUUAUUAUCUCAGCAAACGAUGCGCUCUGCGCGUCGUCGCGUCCUACGGUCACCCGCACGCACAGCCCCGACUCACGCGUGGCUGUCACCCCGCAGCCGGGAAGGGAGAAACUCGCCGCUCCUCAAAGCCCGGCUGCGGGAACCCCCUCUGUUCCCCGGUGUUUACACGGGAAUAAAUCGAGGAGGUAAAAUGUUCUGCACCUCUGCCCGCACCGCUGGGAUACGGAAGGGCGGCGUUCGGCAGCUUUCGGAGGGGCGUUUGUUGUUACCCCGAACAACGGGACCGGGCGCGGUGGCGGAUGAGCGUCAGACAGGUGCGCUCUCCGCUCAGUUCCCUCUGCCCCCCCUCCCGUUCUUUAAACGUUUGAAACCCCACCCCAAAGGUGGGGACAGAUCCCCUUUCUGUGUACCGUCACAAUGCCUCAGUGCUCCGAAGUAGAUCUUAAACUGCAUUUCCUUCUUCUUCUUUCCCCCACCCCCCCAAAAAAUUGGUAUUUGCCGUUGGUUGUUACUGAUGCUUGAUUUUAUUUAUUUUGGGCUUUUGCUGUUGUUUGUUUGUUGUUGGUUUUAGUUUUCUUUGCACGCAACUCUCCCAUCCCUGAACCGUUACACGGUCGUUGCCCCAAAUGAUGACUUGAUACCAUUCUUACACCCCAACACAGCAACCGUCCCUUCUGUUCCUCACAGUGUAACAGGAAACGGCGUUAGCAUGAGAGAAUGGGGUCUGCUAUUGAGAUCCUGACCGUAAUUCACAGCGAUAAAAAUAAAAUAAAAUUAAAAAGAACUAAAUAAAGACCGCAGCCUACGAGCCACCUGGACUGCUUGUGGAGUGCCAGUUUAGGAGGGUGGGUUGGGAUCUCAGGGUUGGGAUCCCAGCCCCCCGCUUUGCUGGUCCGGCACGUACCCCCACCACCAGCCAGCGGCGUGACAGUGGAUGCCGACAGUGCGCUGAGCGCCGCGCUGCCGCUUCUCCCGUCCGAGGGGUACCCGGAGGAGAACCCCGCGGCCGACGCCGUGCCCGCAUUGUGCGUGGAGAGUCCGAACGCCGUGAGCUGCGCUGCUGACGUGCCCGUGACGCUCAGCCCUCUAACCGGGAGCUGGUGAUGCCGCUCCACUGAACAAAGGAGGCUGCCCGGUUUGAAGCCCUAUUCAUUGGCCGCCUGGAAAUAACCGUAUGCAUAGAAACGUAGAAUGGUUUGGGUUGAAAGGGCCCUUUAAGAUCAUCUAGUUCCAACCCCCUGCUAUAGGCAAGGACACCUCCCUCUAGACCAGGUAUGCAUCUUCGGGUGUGUAUUCCCCACGGUAAAUGGAAUAUGAGCAAGAAUCUGCGUUCUGCGCAGAGGAAUUCAGGCUGCGGGCGGUACGCAGCUGAAGGCGGCGCACGGGGUGAAGCGAAAAGCGCAGGACCAGUGCCUGUGAUGGAUGGAAAUCUGUGAAAUCAGUCAAAAUAAGUAAAUAAAUAAACAGUGAACAAACACGGGAAGCGAAGCCCGCACAGCCCCGCCGGCACGGCAGCGCCUGCGAGCCGGGAGCACCUGCUCGCUCCGCCGGGUCGCU
ensembl:lncRNA